GGAGCUGAUGUGAUUGAUGUGAAGACUUACCUGAGCCCCAGCAAAACCUGUAAACUCUGCAGCAACCCUCUUCAAAACCAUGUCCUCCAAAAACUUCCAUCUUCUGUUGUGGACUGGAGUUACGUCAGUCAAUGCAGGCCUGACAUCCACAGCAAACUUCACACCUCUCUCAGGUAAAGUAUUUAAACCGGAUUGUGAACACUGUAAAAGUUGAAUCAUACAAUUAAACUAAGAAUUACUGAAUUUU